rnacentral:rRNA from 1 species
CAGUCGCCGCGGUAAUACGGAGGGAGCUAGCGUUGUUCGGAAUUACUGGGCGUAAAGCGCGCGUAGGCGGUUACUCAAGUCAGAGGUGAAAGCCCGGGGCUCAACCCCGGAACUGCCUUUGAAACUAGGUGACUAGAAUCUCGGAGAGGUCAGUGGAAUUCCGAGUGUAGAGGUGAAAUUCGUAGAUAUUCGGAAGAACACCAGUGGCGAAGGCGACUGACUGGACAAGUAUUGACGCUGAGGUGCGAAAGCGUGGGGAGCAAACAGGAUUAGAUACCCGGGUAGUCCCUGUCUCUUAUAA